GGUUUUGUGGACGUUGAGUACAAUCUAUGUAAAGUAUGAAAGUGGCGGAUCGCAUUGAAGCUAUUACCGUGAUCAGAGUCGUGGUGAAAAUUGCAAACGUGAAUUAUUUAAGAAGACACAAUAUUGGGUGAAACGGGAAAUGGCAAUUGGAAAAUUGUUGAACGCCUGUCAAGUUUCUUAGAUAGAAAUGUAGCCCACGUAUGUCUUGUUGCUUCUCUAUAAAAUAUCGUCGAGCGGUGUGUUUCAGACAAGUAACGGUGAUUGUGAUUUUAUUUAUUCCAUGACUCCUCAACCUGGUAAUACGUUAGUGGAAAAUGACCGUAUUAGAAGCAGAAGAAGAGACAGAUGAACGGUCGAUCCCUCCAAGAAAAAAGUUUUGCCUGUCUCUGUCAGGACAUCGGAAUACCACCCCUAAGACUAUCUCUCAGCCCCCUCCUACUACUAGCAGAGGGGGCCUUUUUGAAAAACAAACCCUCUCUUACGCGAAUCCAGUGCACUUAUGCAUAACGGGAUCGCGUUAUGCACACAUCGGCGUAUACCAUCAAGCGGUCGGCCUAUCGUGGUGAAGGAAAAAUGUUAAACGGCUAUCGAAAUCAUCUGAGCAAUCAUCAAGAUCCCGGUUGCGACGUCAUGGGCGGCGGUUCUGAAGGAUUG